GACGAAGGUGGCAAGCGUUGUUCGGUGUUACUGGGCUUAAAGAGUGUGUAGGCGGAAAGAUAAGCGCCGCGUGAAAGCCCCCGGCUUAACCGGGGAACUGCACGACGAACUGUCUUUCUUGAGGCAAGUAGGGGUGCACGGAACUCUUGGUGGAGCGGUGGAAUGCGUAGAUAUCAAGAGGAACGCCUGUGGAGAAAUCGGUGCACUGGGCUUGUUCUGACGCUGAGACACGAAAGCGUGGGUAGCGAACGGGAUUAGAUACCCCCGUA
rnacentral:rRNA from 1 species